rnacentral:tRNA from 1 species
UGGCACGCUCUGAAAAGGAAGAGCGCACGGUUCACAUCCGUGAGGUCACUGGUUCGAGCCCAGUCGUGCCCACCC